rfam:Bombyx mori DNA, contig: Bm_scaf118_contig38038, strain: p50T/Dazao, build 2, whole genome shotgun sequence.
CCACGGUGAAAAGGGUGUUAAAUGAAGACUUAGGGCUUCGGGCAUAUCGAAGAAAAACAGGACAUCGUUUGAAUGCUCUAAUGCUCGUCUAAUGGA